UUCCUCAGCCACUAGUGCUCUGCUCUCCACCAUCGCUUCCACCUGCAACCCUAAUAUUUUCAUAUUAGAGAAGUGGACGGUAGAGAAAGGAGCCAUUAUGGCUAAAUCUUUCUAGUCUUGAGAUUCACUACUGUCAAAGAUUAACCAUGAUUCCGGCCCGAGGGAUUGAGGUUCAUUGGUUCACUCAUAAAGUGUUGGCAAUCCGUGAAGAAUUUCAGAACAGGGUUCGAGGAGAGGAUUUCGACAAAAUCUGCCACAAUAUUCCUUCAAUGAUGCCAAAGAAUCUGUAAAGAAGGGAAUUCGCUUGAGAUUCUCCACAGGCUGCAGGAAGACUUGGCUUUUGGUGAAGGUGGUAGCGCAGAAGUUGUCCCCAAGGUGCUUGCAUCUCCAUGUAGGAGGAGGAGAGGUCUGCCUGACAAAUUGGCUGCAACAUAUCAAAAAGAUUAGUAGAGAAAAUAUAAUUUCUGCACGUAGUCCCAUUGGAUGAUUAUAGUUAAGUGGGGAACACUUUAUAGCAUUUCUUGGGAUCUAAUGCUUUUUUAAAAUUGCUUUGCAUUCUUUCUCAAAGUUAAGGAGCUUUUGUAUAAGUGCUCUUCCUGUAUUCUAUUUAGCAAGUACUUGACUGUGUGUGAAUUGGUCAUCUGACAGUCUUAAGUUUUGUAUUUUCCAACAUCUCCUCCAAAGAAGCUGGUAAAUAUUAGUACAAAGGUUCGGUCGUGUAUUUAUCAUAUUGUGUUACAAAAACAAGAAGCCUCGGGACUUUGUCUUCA